rnacentral:rRNA from 1 species
UACAGAGGUGGCGAGCGUUACUCGGAUUUAUUGGGUGUAAAGGGCAGGUAGGCGUUUCAUUAAGUUAGAGGUGAAAUCCUAAGGCUUAACCUUAGAACUGCUUCUAAGACUGAUGGAAUUGAGACUAGAAGAGGAAAGCGGAAUUCCCGGUGUAAGGGUGAAAUCUGUAGAUAUCGGGAGGAACACCAGUGGCGAAGGCGGCUUUCUGGUCUAGAUCUGACGCUGAGCUGCGAAAGCUCGGGGAGCAAACAGG